rnacentral:tRNA from 1 species
AGCUCAGUCAGUUAGAGCAUGGUGCUGAUAACGCCAAGGUCGUGGGUUCGAUUCCCGU